rnacentral:rRNA from 1 species
CCUACAGACCCAGUCCAAGCUGCAAAGCUUUCUUCUGAGUGUGGCAUCCACAUCAGGAGCCGAAUGCAUGUUGCUACGCACUGGAAUGACUAUGACAAAAGCCCACUCAAACAUGUUAUUCCCCAUGCUAUUAAAGAUAUCGCGCUUAACUUUGAGAUGGAAAAGGAUGACAAGGUUGGGAAUGAUGUAUGCACAAAAGUAAUCCAGAAGGGUGUUCGACAACAACGCUACAGGCUAAAGAAGAAAUACUUCAAUGGUUAUACUGCUCAGGAAGCAUUAUCAAAUAAGCCAGCGAACAUCACUCAUGAGAAUUGGACCAGCCAUGUCAAUAAAUGGUCUGAUGAAAGAAACAAGGAAAUAUGUCAAAUGAAUAAGGAAAACCGAGAAGCUGUCAAGCAUCACCAAAAGACUGGAUCUAUGUCUUAUGUUGCCUUUUUCAGCAAACUUGAAAAAGACAAGUACAAUAAUCAGGACACAAGUCCCAUUGAGUUUUUCAAAGACACCCAUACAAACAGCAAGACUGGUAGCAUGAGCGAGCCGACACUUCUAGCUCAUAAUGCGAUGGAAAAGAAAAGGGAAACACAAUCAGAAGGUGAGUAGCUAGUAUCUGAUACAGCGAUUGUGGCUGAAGUUCUAAAGGAAGAAAGAGCCCAUAGCACCUUUCUUUCCAGCAUGGGGUAUGCAUCAAGAUCUGGGAGGUCUGAGCUCUCCCAGAUCCGAGUUUUAGAAGAAAGAAUUGAACAGAAGGAUAGAGAGGCAAGAGAUGCAAAUGACAGGCAUCGGGAGGAGUUAGCCGCAAGACUUGAAGCACAAGAGAGAGUAUUUUAAGAGAUACAAAAGAAACAUCAGGAAGAAUUGGAAGCUCUAAAGAAGAGCGAGCAAGAGAAGAAUGAAGCUUGUGUAAAGAAGCAAAAGGAGACGGAUAAUCUGCUAGAUUUUCUCUUGAGGGCACAAGCAACUCAGCAAGCAACUCAGCAAUCCCAGUCCAAACCAGAUGGUUCAUGA